GCCUUCGUAGCUCAAUGGAUAGAGCAACGGCCUUCUAAUCCGUAGGUUGUGGGUUCGAGUCCCACCGAGGGCGCCA
rnacentral:tRNA from 4 species